rnacentral:lncRNA from 1 species
AGUGCCUGUGAUAACUCCCUUGCCUCAGGCCUCUCCAGCCCCUGCUGGGACCACUGGCCCAGGAGGAAGUCUGGGCUCUGGCUGCCACCUGCUUCCUCUCAGGAGUUCUUCUCCCUCCCAAGCAUGGAUUUGCAUUUCCCCCUCUGCCUUCUGCUACUCAAGCCCCCAGGGAUGAGGUGACAGUUAACCCCCCACUUCCUGCUAGUGGCCCCAGAGCGCUCACUUCCUUCCAGGCCACUCCUCGACUUUUCAGCUCCCGCACGAUUC